UAUGAAAGUUAUUAAUGUGCUGUGCAUAUGAUAAGGUUACAUGCAUAUAGAUGUAGUUACAUCGCGUAAUUGGGCCAAAGACGUAUUUCGACAUUUCGACUAGACACAAGUUGUAGGUACAAUUAUUAUAAUGUAAAACAAAUAUGAAAUAAAUCCCGAAGCUGCGCGAUAUCCUGUACGCAAAGAUUAUAAAAUUACAUAUCACUUAACUGAUUGACUUAGGUAUGUAAUAAUUUUAUAUUUGAUUGUUUUAUUUAAAAAGUUAAACGCAUAUUGUUAUAUGAUAUAAAACUACAAUACGAUAAUGGAUAGUGAAUUCCCCCAGGUGAGGGGGGAAUUAACCCCAUCAGGACUAAGGGGAAGAUAUAAUAAGAAGAUAUUAAUGUAAAUGAUAAAAUGUCCACCUUUGUUCAAAAUUCUAUUUGGAAGCUACAGCUAUUAGGGUCCCUGAGGGAGGUGAAAUUAGAAUAUUUAUAAGAUAGAUGUCAAUCACGUCCGUAGCAGGAUCAAAUUCUCGAGAGGUUUUAAACUAAACUUUAUUUAUAUUAUUUUUGUUAUAAACCUAAUUCAUAUGAAAAUAUUAAUUAAUACUUUUGGAAAAAUUUCGGGGAAGGGGUUAAACCCAUAGCCCCGUUUAUCCGGGGCCAAGGGGAAGGCAAUUUCCCUGGGGUGGUAAAUUUCAUAGUGUUUGAUGGAGCGGAAAAUGUUUUAUUUUAUUUUAUUUUAUUUGCAGUGCAAUUAAAAUCAAUUCUCAGUUUUUUUGCACCAGAGGAAAAAUUAUGUUUCAUUAAGCUUUAAACGAGUGUCGCUGAUUCUCCACUAUUGACAACAUUCCCCAUCGUUAAAAUAGCAAUGCGGAUAUUUUGUUGUAUGGCUUUAUCAAAUGUAAGUGGAAAAAGAUCGUUUUCCGUUUUAAAAUAAAUAAAAAUUUUCUAAAAUUCACUUUAAUAAACAAAAAAAUAUCAUCACUUUCAAUAUUAAACAUAAAAGAUCUUUUAAACAAACUGAUCAGAUUAUCAACCAAUUUACGAUCAUCAAAGCAAAAAAAAAAAGAGCUCAUCAAGAGGAUGCAUGUGGUCACUGUUGUAGGUGAAGAGUGAGGAAGAUGGUAUCUGGGGGGGUUCAGAUCCCGUGGACCCUCCCCCCGUAAAUCUGCCACUGCCAGUACCCUUAGAACUGUCAUGGAACAGUCUGGUGAACAUAAAUUUGAGUUGUAAUUUUCUUAAGGGCGGCAUAAUUUAAUUUGCCGUGGGAUGGCAACGUAGCUUAUAACUCGACACUAUUUGAACCCCAAAAUCUCCUUCAGAUACGACCUUGAUGACUAAUGAGUUGAUGUCAUAUACAUUAUUUAGUAAUCUAUUAUACAUACGACUAUUAGGUAUAUUUGUAUUCCAUUAUCAUUUGUAUUUCAUUAGUUUUUUUUAUCAAUUGUUCUUGAAAGUAUUAAGUAAAUAUAAUUACAAUAAUAAAAAACACUUUACUUAUCUCCGCUCUCAAUUUAAACAAAAACAUAUUUAGACCCCACCCCCUCCAUUCAAAAUCCUGGCUACGCCCUGACGAGUUAUAAUUAAAAAUUAAAUUUAAAAAAAACCCCUGGAAACAAAUCCUGGCUACGCGCCCGUUUUGAAUUAUUAUUAUAUUUUUAUUGAUUAUAGCCAUUAAAAGGUUUUUGUACGUUUACGUAAAAUUGAUUGGACUAAAACAUAUGUACACUUCAGACUAUAUAUUUUAUGGUAAAUAAUAUUUGACAUAAACAAUAAUUUGAUUGCUAGAUCAUUGAUUUUUAUAACAUCACGCACAAACACGCCGUUUCAACUGCAGCUGCGUACGUAAUAUGUUUUAACUAUAUACGCAACUAUUAUAUAAGUGCGUACGUAUAAAAAUGUAAUUUAAAAAUAUUUUGUUUUAUUACAUUUUUUUUUUCAAGCUGCAGAUGAACCACAUGUCUUUAAAUGUAUAGGAAAUACUAAAUGGAAACGGGACAAAUAUUAUUACAAAAACACCGUCGAUAGAUUUGUUCAAUUAUUAUUAUUAUACAAAAGCUGCAGAUGUUUACAGUACAUUCAAUCAUCACGUCGAGCGUUGUACUAUUAUAAAAUAUAAUAAUAAGACUAUUGGCAAAUAUUAUAAUAUGCAUCUAUAAUAAAAUUAAAACACAUCAAGUAAUAAAAUGUAAUUUUUAUUUUUAACAAGUGUUUCUGCAUGCAUAUACAUUUGAAUGAGCUAUUUUAAAUUUAAUUCCAGGUAAAAACCAGCCGAUUAAAAAAUAAAAAAUUCCUACUGUGUGUAUGACACAUAAUACUUUAAACUAUCUAUUUUUUUUACCACUAAGCACAACUUAUAAUCAACCUCCUAUCAAAUUUUCAGGUAUUUCUGUUCAAGUCUAACAGUUUAUCUACAGAGUACCUACCAAACAAAAAUUACACGUAAAAAUCUCGCAAAAUUAAAAAGUCCAAAAAUAGCUCAUGAAUAUGCUAAAAUGUUCUGAAAGUUUUACCAUGUCUAAAAAAAGUAAAUAUAAGUUUUCUAUGAACAUUUUAAUUCUACGAAUAUUUUAAACUGAAAAUAAAAAAUGCCUACCUUGUAUCAUAUAGGUACUUGUUCUUUUGCAAUGGAAAAUGGAAGUGGAAGGCAAUACAACAUAAUAAAUUAAAUAUAACAAAUGAAAAUUGUUUAUAAUAAUGCAAGAAAAAUAUAUCUACUAUCUACAUCUAUUAUAUUGUAAUAUAUUAAAGCCCUUUUCUUGAGAUUAUUUUGAAAAAUAGGUACAUAAUUGUUUAGUACUUAUACUAGAGUCCUGCACGGACGGACUGGCCCGACUCUACCCGAAUUUCAGCAAGACCCAAAGUCUGAUUGAAUUGGAUCGGUCCUACUUAUAAAUAUUUCGGGUCAGGUCGAACCAAAUUUUCGAAUUGAAUUGAGUCGGACUGAAUUUUAAAUUGUUCGUGUCUGGCCAGACGGAAUUU